AUUGAACGCUGGCGGCAUGCCUUACACAUGCAAGUCGAACGGUAACAGGUCUUCGGAUGCUGACGAGUGGCGAACGGGUGAGUAAUACAUCGGAACGUGCCCGAUCGUGGGGGAUAACGCAGCGAAAGCUGUGCUAAUACCGCAUACGAUCUACGGAUGAAAGCGGGGGAUCGCAAGACCUCGCGCGGACGGAGCGGCCGAUGGCAGAUUAGGUAGUUGGUGGGAUAAAAGCUUACCAAGCCGACGAUCUGUAGCUGGUCUGAGAGGACGACCAGCCACACUGGGACUGAGACACGGCCCAGACUCCUACGGGAGGCAGCAGUGGGGAAUUUUGGACAAUGGGCGCAAGCCUGAUCCAGCCAUGCCGCGUGCAGGAUGAAGGCCUUCGGGUUGUAACUGCUUUGUACGGAACGAAAAGCUCUCUCUAAUACAGGGGUGAAUGACGGUACCGUAAGAAUAAGCACCGGCUAACUACGUGCCAGC
rnacentral:rRNA from 1 species